rnacentral:rRNA from 1 species
GACGAACGCUGGCGGCGUGCUUAACACAUGCAAGUCGAACGAAGUGGCGAACGGGUGAGUAAUACGUGGGUAACUAGCCCUCAUUUUGGGGAUAAGCCUAGGAAACGGGGUCUAAAACCGUAUAAAGGGGGAUUGGCUAGCGUACUAUCAGCUUGUUGGUUGGGUGGUGGCCUAUCAAGCCGGUGACGGUUAGCCGGCCUGGGAGGGUGACCGUCGUGAUUGGGACUGAGAUACGGGUCAGACUCGUUCGGUAGGCAGCAGUGGGGGAUAUUUCACAAUGUGCGAAAGCCUGAUUCAGCUACGCCGCGUGGGUGAUGAAGGCUUUCGGGUUGUAAACCUCUUUCGCUAUCGAACGGGUAGGUGGAGAAUAAGCGCCGGCUAACUACGUGCCAGCAGCCGCGGUAAUAC